rnacentral:lncRNA from 1 species
GCAACAAAAACAGACAAUAAAUUCACAUCAAGGAUGCCAUCCAGGACACCAGUACACACUGAAAUCUGUGAUCUGAAUGUGCCACAGGGCACGUGAAAAAAAGAAAUCACCCUUGAAUAAGUGGGACUAUCCAACAGAAAUGCCGAACAAAGUUAGAGAUGUGUAUUCUCCAUGUGGUUUGACAGCCCUUUGCACAAAGCUGGUUUCACUCUUUGCAGUCUUUUGUUCUCACACCAUUUGCUGAAAAGCUGCUGAUAAU